rnacentral:ncRNA from 2 species
UUAAGCGUUGGAAACUAUGAAGAAUUCUCUUUACUUGGGCACCUGGGAAAUUCGGAGUUAGUGGUGCAACCGGCCAACAAUAAU